GGGAAGGUGGCUGAGUGGUAAAGUGCUUGCCUUGCAUGCAUGAGGCCCUGGGUUCGAUUCCUUAGCAUCACA
rnacentral:tRNA from 1 species